UUUUCCUUCCUUCCUGUAAAACAGGUUGUUCUUCAGAGCAAGUGGUGAAGCUGUGAGCUCAUUCAUACCGGAAGCAGUAAGCCUUGCGAAGCAGCAAGAGAACACAUCAGACUGAGGAGACUUUUUUAGAGGGAAGAUUAGUGCUAGAGGUGUGGACUUAGGAGUGGUAAAUUGGUCAAAGACGAAGAAGAACAGGUGACCCUGCCUUGUUUCAGAGGGUGAAAGAAUACUGCUGAUGGCAACAGACAGAUGAGCCGACAUGUUGACCUGUGGUCUUGGCAGCACUAGUAAGUAUUGUACUGCCUGCUAAUCAAACGAUGUGGUGGGUGAUUAGGCGGGGAAUCAAGUGAAGUGAGCCACCGACUAAACAAGGGUUCUGCGAUGGAGAUGGCGUGCAGAGUGGGUUCCAACGAGGACGACGACUGAGCUGAGCUCCCCUUCAAAGGAUCGUCAUCCAAUGCUGCAGAUCAGCUGGUCACUUCAGGCACCUCCUGGCAAAAUGGUUAGCAGAAACGGAUGUUUGAGCCAGAUGCUUUGCUUUGUUUCUAAUAUGAAAUUGUGCAGACAAAAGAUAGAGUGCUUUUGGAAGCUACUGCUAUAUGAGUAAACAUUAUCCCCUGUAUGGGCGUCGUUGACAUGAGAUUUUUAUUUUAUGAGGAUGAAGUGAUGAACAUCGGUUGUUGGAAGGUACCAAUCCAGUUUGGCAUGAGCUCAGACGGUCAGACCAAACAAUCUGAUAUUUAGGGGAGUUCCUUGACCAUUGUAUCGUAACAUAGUCUCAUAGUAGCUCUUUUGUUGAUGCCGGAUGAACACUAUAUAUUUGGUGAAACCAUCUUUUAUUCAUAGUUUCUGAAUC